CAUACAGUACCACUGACCAAACCAAGGUUAUCAACACAACAUACAGUACCACUGACCAAACCAAGGUUAUCAACACAACAUACAGUACCACUGACCAAACCAAGGUUAUCAACACAACAUACAGUACCACUGACCAAACCAAGGUUAUCAACACAACAUACAGUACCACUGACCAAACCAAGGUUAUCAACACAACAUACAGUACCACUGACCAAACCAAGGUUAUCAACACAACAUACAGUACCACUGACCAAACCAAGGUUAUCAACACAACAUACAGUACCACUGACCAAACCAAGGUUAUCAACACAACAUACAGUACCACUGACCAAACCAAGGUUAUCAACACAACAUACAGUACCACUGACCAAACCAAGGUUAUCAACACAACAUACAGUACCACUGACCAAACCAAGGUUAUCAACACAACAUACAGUACCACUGACCAAACCAAGGUUAUCAACACAACAUACAGUACCACUGACCAAACCAAGGUUAUCAACACAACAUACAGUACCACUGACCAAACCAAGGUUAUCAACACAACAUACAGUACCACUGACCAAACCAAUUUAAUUAACAGCUCAGAAAUCCAUCAACAAUUGUGUUAUAUUGCUUCUACAUGCUAUGAUCCAAUAGAUCAGUGUUUCAUUGCUGAAUUACCAUCCGAAUACCACCCUUGUCUUCAAUCCUAUUGUAAGAGUACAAAUAGUUAUCAAUACUGAAGUAAAUGUACCUAACAUCAAAGACAAGCCAUACUGUUAAAAAA